CAAUAGCGUAUAUUAAAGUUGUUGUGGUUAAAAAGCUCGUAGUUGGAUUUCUGCCGAGGACGACCGGUCCGCCCUCUGGGUGAGUAUCUGGCUCGGCCUGGGCAUCUUCUUGGAGAACGUAGCUGCACUUGACUGUGUGGUGCGGUAUCCAGGACUUUUACUUUGAGGAAAUUAGAGUGUUUCAAGCAGGCUUACGCCUUGAAUACAUUAGCAUGGAAUAAUAAGAUAGGACCUCGGUUCUAUUUUGUUGGUUUCUAGAGCUGAGGUAAUGAUUAAUAGGGAUAGUUGGGGGCAUUCGUAUUUAACUGUCAGAGGUGAAAUUCUUGGAUUUGUUAAAGACGGACUACUGCGAAANCANNNGCCAAGGAUGUUUUCAUNGA
rnacentral:rRNA from 1 species